rnacentral:rRNA from 1 species
UACGUAGGGUGCAAGCGUUGUCCGGAAUUAUUGGGCGUAAAGAGCUCGUAGGCGGUUUGUCGCGUCUGCUGUGAAAUCCGGAGGCUCAACCUCCGGCCUGCAGUGGGUACGGGCAGACUAGAGUGCGGUAGGGGAGAUUGGAAUUCCUGGUGUAGCGGUGGAAUGCGCAGAUAUCAGGAGGAACACCAAUGGCGAAGGCAGAUCUCUGGGCCGUAACUGACGCUGAGGAGCGAAAGCAUGGGGAGCAAACAGG